rnacentral:rRNA from 1 species
GACGAACGCUGGUGGCGUGCUUAACACAUGCAAGUCGAACGGUGAAAGGGAGCUUGCUCCCUGGAUCAGUGGCGAACGGGUGAGUAACACGUGGGCAACCUGCCCCAGACUUCGGGAUAACGCUUCGAAAGAGGUGCUAAUACCGGAUACGAACUCCUUGGGCAUCCUUGGAGUUGGAAAGUUUUUCGGUCUGGGAUGGGCCCGCGGCCUAUCAGCUUGUUGGGGCGGUAACGGCUCACCAAGGCGACGACGGGUAGCCGGCCUGAGAGGGCGACCGGCCACACUGGGACUGAGACACGGCCCAGACUCCUACGGGAGGCAGCAGUGGGGAAUAUUGCGCAAUGGGCGAAAGCCUGACGCAGCAACGCCGCGUGAGGGAUGACGGCCUUCGGGUUGUAAACCUCUUUCAGCAGGGAAGAAGCGAAAGUGACGGUACCUGCAGAAGAAGCACCGGCUAACUACGUGCCAGCAGCCGCGGUAA